AGCAGCCGCGGUAAUUCCAGCUCCAAUAGCGUAUAUUAAAGUUGUUGCAGUUAAAAAGCUCGUAGUUGAAUUUCGGGAUCAAUAUUUCGGUCAUGCCGUUGGUAUGCACUGUUAUCAUUGAUUUCUCACCUUCUAAAGAACCGUGAUGCCAUUAAUUUGGUGUUACGGGGAAUUAGGACUGUUACCUUGAAAAAUUAGAGUGUUUAAAGCAGGCUCACGCUUGAAUACAUUAGCGUGGAAUAAUGAAAUAGGACGUUUGAUUCUAUUUUGUUGGUUUCUAGGAUCGACGUAAUGAUUAAUAGGGAUAGUUGGGGGCAUUAGUAUUCAAUUGUCAGAGGUGAAAUUCUUGGAUUUAUUGAAGACUAACUACUGCGAAAGCAUUUGCCAAGGAUGUUUUCAUUAAUCAAGAACGAAAGUUAGGGGAUCGAAGACGAUCAGAUACCGUCGUAGUCUUAACCAUAAGCUAUGCCGACUAGGGAUCGGAUGAUGUUAAUU
rnacentral:rRNA from 1 species